rnacentral:rRNA from 1 species
GGUAAAAGCUCAAAUUUGAAAUCUGGUACUUUCAGUGCCCGAGUUGUAAUUUGUAGAAUUUGUCUUUGAUUAGGUCCUUGUCUAUGUUCCUUGGAACAGGACGUCAUAGAGGGUGAGAAUCCCGUUUGGCGAGGAUACCUUUUCUCUGUAAGACUUUUUCGAAGAGUCGAGUUGUUUGGGAAUGCAGCUCAAAGUGGGUGGUAAAUUCCAUCUAAAGCUAAAUAUUGGCGAGAGACCGAUAGCGAACAAGUACAGUGAUGGAAAGAUGAAAAGAACUUUGAAAAGAGAGUGAAAAAGUACGUGAAAUUGUUGAAAGGGAAGGGCAUUUGAUCAGACAUGGUGUUUUUUGCAUGCACUCGCCUCUCGUGGGCUUGGGCCUCUCAAAAAUUUCACUGGGCCAACAUCAAUUCUGGCAGCAGGAUAAAUCAUUAAGAAUGUAGCUACUUCGGUAGUGUUAUAGCUUUUUGGAAUACUGUUAGCCGGGAUUGAGGACUGCGCUUCGGCAAGGAUGUUGGCAUAAUGGUUAAAUGCCGCCCGUC